rnacentral:rRNA from 1 species
GAUGAACGCUGGCGGUAUGCCUAACACAUGCAAGUCGUACGAGAGUUUUUAACUCUAGUGGCGGACGGGUGAGUAACACGUGAGAAUUUGCCUUUAGGAGGGGGACAACAAUCGGAAACGAAUGCUAAUACCCCAUAUGCUUUCGAGUGAAAUGGAUUUUAUCCGCCUAGAGAGAAGCUCGCGGCUGAUUAGCUUGUUGGUAAGGUAAGAGCUUACCAAGGCGACGAUCAGUAUCUGGUUUGAGAGGACGAUCAGACACACUGGAACUGAGACACGGUCCAGACUCCUACGGGAGGCAGCAGUGGGGAAUUUUCCGCAAUGGGCGAAAGCCUGACGGAGCAAUACCGCGUGAGGGAAGACUGCCUAUGGGUUGUAAACCUCUUUUUUCAGGGUAGGAAUAAAAUGACGUGUACCUGAAGAAUAAGCAUCGGCUAACUCCGUG